CACGUAGGGGGCAAGCGUUGUCCGGAUUCAUUGGGCGUAAAGAGCGUGUAGGCGGCCAGACAGGUCCGUUGUGAAAACUCGAGGCUCAACCUCGAGAUGUCGAUGGAAACCGUCUGGCUAGAGUCCGGAAGAGGAGUGUGGAAUUCCUGGUGUAGCGGUGAAAUGCGCAGAUAUCAGGAAGAACACCUAUGGCGAAGGCAGCACUCUGGGACGGUACUGACGCUGAGACGCGAAAGCGUGGGGAGCGAACAGG
rnacentral:rRNA from 1 species